rnacentral:rRNA from 1 species
UGGGGAAUAUUGCACAAUGGGCGCAAGCCUGAUGCAGCCAUGCUGCGUGUGUGAAGAAGGCCUUCGGGUUGUAAAGCACUUUCAGCGAGGAGGAAGGUGGUGAGCUUAAUACGCUCAUCAAUUGACGUUACUCGCAGAAGAAGCACCGGCUAACUCCGUGCCAGCAGCCGCGGUAAUACGGAGGGUGCAAGCGUUAAUCGGAAUUACUGGGCGUAAAGCGCACGCAGGCGGUUUGUUAAGUCAGAUGUGAAAUCCCCGGGCUCAACCUGGGAACUGCAUUUGAAACUGGCAAGCUAGAGUCUCGUAGAGGGGGGUAGAAUUCCAGGUGUAGCGGUGAAAUGCGUAGAGAUCUGGAGGAAUACCGGUGGCGAAGGCGGCCCCCUGGACGAAGACUGACGCUCAGGUGCGAAAGCGUGGGGCAGCAAACAGGAUUAGAUACCCUGGUAGUCCA